AUGAGAGUAUAGUUCCUAGCCAAAUCGGCCUAGAAAAUCGCAACUUUUCAUUUUCUGCUGGUCUUAGUACACGAUAUAACUACAGAAGAGUCAAGUUUUAAAUAGGACAAAUAUCGAAACUCUUUGGUCAUUUUUGAACGCGAUGCUACUGGUCUAAUCGGAUUCAAUGAUCUAUGCUAAGCUAUGCUAAAAGUGCUAUCGCCAGACCCGGAGAUCGGCUCAAUGGAUUCCAAAACGGUAAAACUCAACUUAUUAACUCUGGGGGAGUUGCAGAAUGAGCCUAUUUCCAAAAAAGUGGAGUGUUCCUUUAACGCCGCCAUAACGGUGAUAACAUCGACUGUCUAGAUUUCGUCGACAACGUCGGAGGUGUAUUUUGGAGCCUCUUCUUGUGAAUGCCAUAGUUUCGAUGAUAACAUCAACUGUUUGUGAUCUUGUGGUCAUGUCGUCUGCAUCGGAGGAGUAUUGGAGUCUUUUCCUGUGAUUGCCGUCGUAACAACAGGAGAUUUCUCCAUGAAAAAACAAGAUCCUGAAUAUGAGGGCAGAAUCAUCAUACAGCCAGCUGUCAGUUUUACAGAAAUGCAGAAUUAGGUUCAUUCAGAUCUUUGUGGCACCAAAUGCAUUGAAAGUCACAGGUCAGCUGGAAUUCUGGAAAGAGGGUGCAAAGAAAAAGUAUCUGCCUGAAUCCCAUUCAGUCAAAAUUACUGAAAUUUAACACAACAACACAAACUCAUUUUUACUGUUACUAUUAUUUGAUUUUUAUUAACACUACCAGUCAAAAGUUUUUGAACAGUAAGAUUUUUAAUGUUUUUAAAGAAGCCUCUUCUGCUCACCAAGCCUGCAUUUAUUUGAUCCAAAGUACAGCAAAAACAGUACAAUUUUGAAAUAUUUUUACUAUUUAAAAUAA